ensembl:lncRNA
AGCAAAAUAAGGUUCUUCACCUACGCUGCUUGUAUAAAGUAAAUCUGAAAUGGAAGAAAAAUGCUUUCUUUAGCCAGCACUUCAGAUGCAGAAGGGAACUUCCCCCUGACUAAACUAGAGAAGACAAUGCACUGCAUCCUGCCAUCUAGCAUUCCUCUUCUUGGCACCUAGAGCUGCCUUUUCUCUGACUGUUGAUUAAUGAAUUUGAGCUAAUCUCCAAGCAAUUGUUCUGAGCUCAUUUGCAGUUCACAAGUUACUGUUUCUAUUUUAGGCCUGAAGAAAAAAUUAAACAAAACCAUGUCAGUUUGUUCCAAAAAUGUGUAUUUUUCUAAUUACACUUUUGGAGAGACACAAGAUACACAUGUGAAUGUAUCGAUUUGGUGUGCAUGUGUGAUGUCAGUAGCCUCAUGUGCUAGUUACCUGCCAAAUACUUACACUGUUAAGCAAUACCAAAUGAGUUUCAAGAUGAAUGUGAUGCUGUGUGGGCUGAUGAAGAUGGAAGAAAGCAGAGAGUGGAUGCAGUUAUCCAGUGAAGACCAAUGUUGCAAAUAAAUUGCAAUGUUAAUUAGGAUAAAAUAGUAAAAUUACUCUUCUCCUGUCCCUGUUAUACUUUUCCUCCAUAAUUUUGUAGAGGCUGUGUCAUCAUAUUUAAUCACAUAACUUUAUUCAAUUCCCAGCUAUGCUGCACGUGGACAGAAUUUAAAAUCAUUUCCUGUAAAAUACUUUGCAAUAUGCACAAGAAGAAAAAAAGUCUUAUGUAAAUGCAAAUGGAAAGGUCAUUACUAUUGGUAAGAGUACUGCCUAGUACUUGGUGCUUGCAUUUGUGUCCACCAAGAAAAAGAAUCUCAGGAUACAACUUUCAAAAACGGUGUUGCUAAAACUGAUAGUUACUUCAGGGAAAAUUUGGUACUUAACACUGGUAAAAAAAACUGACAAAAAAAUAUAACUGUUUUCUGUACAAACAGAACUCAAAGUUCUGGUUUGGGGCCUCCUUUUUUGAUUGCGUUCUCUGAGAAAUGUUCUCACUGAAUCAUUUGCUUGCUUGCCUGUUUUUCCCCUCAGCUAUUCCCACAGCAGCUCUUUACAAUUUGCAGGCAGCAAAACUUAAGCAAAAGGUUCGUCCCUUUGGCCAGAUUCAAAAAGGGAACUGCUGUCAGAUCUUGUGCUUGGACGUUCUGUGUCCUAAUAUUUUUGUUGUGAAAAGUUUCUUUGGCCAAACUUUACAAUCUGACAACGAAAAAUCUUCAACCACAACUGCUUUCCCCAUCAAACGGCUACUAUUGAACUGUGCUCCUUUCCAAGAUGAAUACGGACUCAAAAUAUUUUCCUUUUGCUUUUUUUCAGUGAAUUGCAAGACUGCAGCAACUUAAUAGAAUCAAUUUUUGCCUUAGUAGAAAAUGUAAUAUACUUCUGCUCUAGGAAAAAAAAAAAAAGGGAAGUAAUUACUGCAGAAUUAAAUCCCGUGCUUUUGUGAGAAUAAACACACUGUAUAAAGUGUCUGGGGACUUGGAGUAGGGUAUGCAUCCAGCAGUGCUCCUUCUUUAUAGGGCUGUCUAAUUAGGAGGUAAUUAACAGAAUAUUAGACUGUUUGCAGUUCCAUACACUUAUUCUCUGUAAGUGUUAUGGAAAGUUUCUUUUGCUUCCUAUGAAUCUUUUUGCUUUGCUUUCUAGUUGCAAUGAAAAUUAGCUCUUAUUUUGACAUCAGUGGUGUGUAUCUGGAUAAACAAUUAAAUUCAG